rnacentral:rRNA from 1 species
AACGAACGCUGGCGGCAUGCCUAACACAUGCAAGUCGAACGAGACCUUCGGGUCUAGUGGCGCACGGGUGCGUAACGCGUGGGAAUCUGCCCUUGGGUUCGGAAUAACAGUUAGAAAUGACUGCUAAUACCGGAUAAUGUCUUCGGACCAAAGAUUUAUCGCCCAGGGAUGAGCCCGCGUAGGAUUAGCUAGUUGGUGAGGUAAAGGCUCACCAAGGCGACGAUCCUUAGCUGGUCUGAGAGGAUGAUCAGCCACACUGGGACUGAGACACGGCCCAGACUCCUACGGGAGGCAGCAGUGGGGAAUUUUGGACAAUGGGGGGAAACCCUGAUCCAGCAAUGCCGCGUGAGUGAAGAAGGCCUUCGGGUUGGUUAAAGGACUCUUUUGUUCAGGGAAGAAACGGUAGAGGGCGUAAUAUCCUUUGUCUAAUGACGGUACCGUGAAGAAUAAGCACCGGCUAACUACGUGCCAGCAGCCGCGGU